GCUUGCUUUCUCAAGCGAGUGGCGAACGGGUGAGUAACGCGUGAGGAACCUGCCUCAAAGAGGGGGACAACAGUUGGAAACGACUGCUAAUACCGCAUAAGCCCACGGCUCGGCAUCGAGCAGAGGGAAAAGGAGCAAUCCGCUUUGAGAUGGCCUCGCGUCCGAUUAGCUAGUUGGUGAGGUAACGGCCCACCAAGGCAACGAUCGGUAGCCGGACUGAGAGGUUGAACGGCCACAUUGGGACUGAGACACGGCCCAGACUCCUACGGGAGGCAGCAGUGGGGAAUAUUGCACAAUGGGGGGAACCCUGAUGCAGCGACGCCGCGUGGAGGAAGAAGGUCUUCGGAUUGUAAACUCCUGUUGUUGAGGAAGAUAAUGACGGUACUCAACAAGGAAGUGACGGCUAACUACGUGCCAGCAGCCGCGGUAAAACGUAGGUCACAAGCGUUGUCCGGAAUUACUGGGUGUAAAGGGAGCGCAGGCGGGAAGACAAGUUGGAAGUGAAAUCUAUGGGCUCAACCCAUAAACUGCUUUCAAAACUGUUUUUYUUGAGUAGUGCAGAGGUAGGCGGAAUUCCCGGUGUAGCGGUGGAAUGCGUAGAUAUCGGGAGGAACACCAGUGGCGAAGGCGGCCUACUGGGCACCAACUGACGCUGAGGCUCGAAAGUGUGGGUAGCAAACAGGAUUAGAUACCCUGGUAGUCCACACCGUAAACGAUGAUUCUAGGUGUUGGAGGAUUGACCCCUUCAGUGCCGCAGUUAACACAAAUAAGUAAUCCACCUGGG
rnacentral:rRNA from 1 species